rnacentral:rRNA from 1 species
UGGGGAAUAUUGGACAAUGGGCGCAAGCCUGAUCCAGCCAUGCCGCGUGAGUGAUGAAGGCCCUAGGGUUGUAAAGCUCUUUUGUGCGGGAAGAUAAUGACGGUACCGCAAGAAUAAGCCCCGGCUAACUUCGUGCCAGCAGCCGCGGUAAUACGAAGGGGGCUAGCGUUGCUCGGAAUCACUGGGCGUAAAGGGUGCGUAGGCGGGUCUUUAAGUCAGGGGUGAAAUCCUGGAGCUCAACUCCAGAACUGCCUUUGAUACUGAGGAUCUUGAGUUCGGGAGAGGUGAGUGGAACUGCGAGUGUAGAGGUGAAAUUCGUAGAUAUUCGCAAGAACACCAGUGGCGAAGGCGGCUCACUGGCCCGAUACUGACGCUGAGGCACGAAAGCGUGGGGAGCAAACAGGAUUAGAUACCCUGGUAGUCCACGCUGUAAACGAUGUGCGCUAGACGUUGGAGGGCGUAGCCUUCCGGUGUCGCAGCUAACGCUUUAGGCGCACCGCCUGGGGAGUACGGCCGCAAGG